ACAGGAUGGAGCAAAACGUUUAGGAAUGCUUUAAUGGGCAACUUAAGGUAACUGAGAUGCUUCCCUGGGCGCAUAGCCAAUUGCUUUUAUCUUCAUGGGGUAACUGAGCUGAGAGGCAAAGGACCAUGAUUUUGCACCACAAAUGUAAUUAAUACAUGUGGGAUAGUCCCAGUCUGCAUAAUCUUGGCAAGACCACAGUUGAUGGGUCUAUGCUACUCUAUUUGAAUUAGCAAGUUGAAGAAUUUGGCUCCCGCCUGACUGUACUAACAGUUUUUAAGAGACACUAUCAACUGGAGGUUACUUGCAGAUUCUACAUUUCUCAGGAGACAUGGUUGAUGUCAUAAGCUAUCAGACAGUGAGAUUGCCUUUCUACCUCAUCCAUAAAGUCAUGACUUACCCAAUUCAGACUUGGAAUUGUCCUAGAUGCAUCCAGCUAUAUCCCCAGCACUAUUAAUUUUUAGUGAUGAAGGUAAUUUUUGCUUUUAACUCUGCUGUAGAGCUCCUAAGUAGGAGUUAUUUUUUACCCUCAUACUCUGUGUACCUUAAGUCCUAGAGGUUGGGC